rnacentral:rRNA from 1 species
AUUGAACGCUGGCGGCAUGCCUUACACAUGCAAGUCGAACGGCAGCGGGCCCUUCGGGGUGCCGGCGAGUGGCGAACGGGUGAGUAAUGCAUCGGAACGUACCCGGGAGAGGGGGAUAACCGGCCGAAAGGCUGGCUAAUACCGCAUGAACUCGGAAGAGCAAAGCGGGGGACCUUCGGGCCUCGCGCUCUCGGAGCGGCCGAUGUCCGAUUAGGCUAGUUGGUGGGGUAAAGGCCCACCAAGGCGACGAUCGGUAGCGGGUCUGAGAGGACGAUCCGCCACACUGGGACUGAGACACAGCCCAGACUCCUACGGGAGGCAGCAGUGGGGAAUCUUGGACAAUGGGCGCAAGCCUGAUCCAGCAAUGCCGCGUGGGUGAAGAAGGCCUUCGGGUUGUAAAGCCCUUUCGGCGGGGAAGAAAUCGGUCAGGCGAAUAGUCUGGCCGGAUGACGGUACCCGCAGAAGAAGCACCGGCUAACUACGUG